rnacentral:rRNA from 1 species
CAGCAGCCACGGGAAUACAGAGGGUGCGAGCGUUAAUCGGAUUUACUGGGCGUAAAGCGUGCGUAGGCGGCUUCUUAAGUCGGAUGUGAAAUCCCCGGGCUCAACCUGGGAACUGCAUCCAAAACUGGCAAGCUAGAGUAUGGUAGAGGGUGGUGGAAUUUCCUGUGUAGCGGUGAAAUGCGUAGAUAUAGGAAGGAACACCAGUGGCGAAGGCGACCACCUGGACUGAUACUGACACUGAGGUGCGAAAGCGUGGGGAGCAAACAGGAUUAGAUACCCCGGUAGUCCCUGUCUCUUAUAC